GUCUACGGCCCUACCACCCUGAAAGCGCCCAAUCUCAUCAGAUCUCGGAAACAAAGCAGGGUCGGGCCUGGUUAGUACUUGGAUGGGAGACAAAAUAAUGUUUGACC
rnacentral:rRNA from 1 species